GUCGAACGGUAACAUAAAGAAGCUUGCUUCUUUGAUGACGAGUGGCGGACGGGUGAGUAAUGCUUGGGAAUCUAGCUUAUGGAGGGGGAUAACUACGGGAAACUGUAGCUAAUACCGCGUAGAAUCGAGAGAUGAAAGUGUGGGACCUUCGGGCCACAUGCCAUAGGAUGAGCCCAAGUGGGAUUAGGUAGUUGGUGAGGUAAAGGCUCACCAAGCCGACGAUCUCUAGCUGGUCUGAGAGGAUGACCUGCCACACUGGGACUGAGACACGGCCCAGACUCCUACGGGAGGCAGCAGCGGGGAAUAUUGCGCAAUGGGGGCAACCCUGACGCAGCCAUGCCGCGUGAAUGAAGAAGGCCUUCGGGUUGUAAAGUUCUUUCGGUAGCGAGGAAGGCAUUUAGUUUAAUAGACUAGGUGAUUGACGUUAACUACAGAAGAAGCACCGGCUAACUCCGUGCCAGCAGCCGCGGUAAUACGGAGGGUGCGAGCGUUAAUCGGAAUAACUGGGCGUAAAGGGCACGCAGGCGGUGACUUAAGUGAGGUGUGAAAGCCCCGGGCUUAACCUGGGAAUUGCAUUUCAUACUGGGUCGCUAGAGUACUUUAGGGAGGGGUAGAAUUCCACGUGUAGCGGUGAAAUGCGUAGAGAUGUGGAGGAAUACCGAAGGCGAAGGCAGCCCCUUGGGAAUGUACUGACGCUCAUGUGCGAA
rnacentral:rRNA from 1 species